rnacentral:rRNA from 1 species
AACGAACGCUGGCGGCAUGCCUAACACAUGCAAGUCGAACGAGACCUUCGGGUCUAGUGGCGCACGGGUGCGUAACGCGUGGGAAUCUGCCCUUGGGUUCGGGAUAACAGUUGGAAACGACUGCUAAUACCGGAUGACGUCUUCGGACCAAAGAUUUAUCGCCCAGGGAUGAGCCCGCGUCGGAUUAGCUAGUUGGUAGGGUAAAAGCCUACCAAGGCGACGAUCCGUAGCUGGUCUGAGAGGAUGAUCAGCCACACUGGGACUGAGACACGGCCCAGACUUCUACGGGAGGCAGCAGCGGGGAAUAUUGGACAAUGGGCGAAAGCCUGAUCCAGCAAGGCCGCGUGGUUGAUGAAGGCCUUAGGGUUGUAAAGCUCUUUUACCCGGGAUGAUAAUGACAGUACCGGGAGAAUAAGCCCCGGCUAACUCCGUGCCAGCCGCCGCCGUAA